rnacentral:lncRNA from 1 species
CGCGUCGGUCGCCGGCGGAGCCUGCGGGGAAGCUCGGACCCCGAGUGGGCGACUGGGCGGCGUCUCUGGCUCGUUCCCUUAGGCUGCGGCUGGAUCUCGUGCUCGCCAGUAGCCACGGGGAACCGAGUCGCCACCAAGCGUGGCCGAACUCGGGCCGAUUGGCCCCGACUCAUUUGCCCACCGACGUGGCCCCGGAAACCACCAGAAUCAGGAAGCUGCUGUGAUCAGGAAGUCUCCAUUACAGCUUCUGGAUCUCUGGAGCCUCCUGAAAUCCACAUCCUCAAGAUGGAUGGUGUGGGCCCUCCUUCGACACCUCCAAGGCUAUGCAGCGGCCACACACUGGGACCUCUGUUCAUCCUGGUGAAGAACUGUCCAGUGACUCCUUGAUCAAGCUUGCCAGCAAAACAGCAGAAGCGGCAGAAACGAAACUGGAACCAACGAAGUGCACCAUGAGAACCUAAAUUAUAUUUAGAACUUUGCUUCAGGGAAAUCUGAGAAAAACAAUCUUGUGGUGUUCCACCUCUCCGAAAGAGGAAGGUACACUAAAAGGAGCUUGGAAUGGCUGCUGAGCACCAACCCACUCCAUAUUACACCUUUGGCUGUUAAACACUCAUAUAUUCUCUUUCCUAAAUUGAGCUUCCAUGAAAACACAGGUCCUCACUAAUAUUCAAACACAUUUUCCUGCUCCUCAAAGGGAGACCUACACUUCUCAGUAUCCAUGUCUGGGCAAUGUUUAUUUUUCCCCUGUAACCUAGUCAUGACCCAUUUUUGAUGUCCUACAACCGGUGUUCUAGAGGAGAGUUAAUCCUGACCCAAAACUCCUUCAUAGAACAGUAAGGGGAAGGGGGAAGGAAUAAAAAGGAUAGUUAUUAAUAGAUGUAAAUAAUAGAAAGGAAAACUAGGAGCUACAGCACUACAGUCCUCACAUGUGGUCUUAGUCAGGAGUCGUCAUUGGUAUUUGUGACUUCUUCCUCUUCUUCCCAUUCACUGUAGUCUUUGCACCCAGGCAAUUGCUCAGAGCCCUGGACUUCAUUGCCUGGUGACAUGAAACCUUUCUUCCUGAGGACCCUGAGCUCUAGGACUGCUG